CACCAUUGGAGUUUAGAGCACUUGAGAACGAGGUUCUUGCCACUCUCCAUCUUCUUGAUCAACCUCUCUGUUUCCGAUUUCGGCCGAUCCAGUUUCGCGUCGAUGCCUUCUAUCUGUUUGAUAAAAGUAUCUAACAGUGCCUCGAUUGCGCCUCCAACAAGAGCGUCUAUAACCACAGACAUAUCCAAAACUCUAAAUUCAAACUGAAUUCAUGGGGAAGAUUAAGAAAUAGGAAGUUGAACUAAAGAGUUUUUAUAUAUAUAAUUUUUGGAAAGCAAGAAGAGGCACACCACACAGUGCAAGUUGCGUUAUAAAAUUAACAAGUAAGCUUUAAUGAAAGGAUGCUUUCUUGAGACGCGGUUAAUUUAGAAAGAAUCAAAUUCUGCCUUCGAAUAUAGUUCUCACUCGUUUUCGCCAGAAUUUUUAAUGUGAAUGCUAUAUGUACGUCUACCAACUUUCGAAUAACAAGCUCAAAGUGGUCCUCAGCAAAAUCAUCAUUCAAAUUCUAAUUGCACAAAAAAGUUAUAGGAUUGGCCGACAUGAGUCAGUUCUUAACUUAUUUUUCGUUAA